GAUGAACGCUGGCGGCGUGCCUAAUACAUGCAAGUCGAGCGAAUGGAUUGAGAGCUUGCUCUUAUGAAGUUAGCGGCGGACGGGUGAGUAACACGUGGGUAACCUGCCCAUAAGACUGGGAUAACUCCGGGAAACCGGGGCUAAUACCGGAUAACAUUUUGAACCGCAUGGUUCGAAAUUGAAAGGCGGCUUCGGCUGUCACUUAUGGAUGGACCCGCGUCGCAUUAGCUAGUUGGUGAGGUAACGGCUCACCAAGGCAACGAUGCGUAGCCGACCUGAGAGGGUGAUCGGCCACACUGGGACUGAGACACGGCCCAGACUCCUACGGGAGGCAGCAGUAGGGAAUCUUCCGCAAUGGACGAAAGUCUGACGGAGCAACGCCGCGUGAGUGAUGAAGGUUUUCGGGUCGUAAAACUCUGUUGUUAGGGAAGUACAAGUGCUAGUUGAAUAAGCUGGCACCUUGACGGUACCUAACCAGAAAGCCACGGCUAGCUACGUGCCAGCCGCCGCAGUAA
rnacentral:rRNA from 1 species